CAUAUUAAUCUUUUACACUAUUUUAAUUUUCAAACUUAAGGAUUGUAUUAUAUAAUUGGUAUACUUGCAAGCAGUGAAGAAUAUGCUAACAGUUCUAGUCUGACUUGGCUAAAUUCCACUUCAAGGUGACUUGGCUAAAAUCUGGAUAUCAUUGUUUCCUUGAUUGGAUAGCCUUAAAAUCAAAACUUGACAUCAACUGCUUCAUUGUGAAUCAAAUUUAUACAGCCGUCUCUUUUUGCUUCAUAUGUUCACAACCGCAUUCAAAGAUGUUCAUCUGUUCACAAUGACUGACAUUCUUCAGUGUAAUUCAUCUCUUGUAUCAUGCUAUACUGAAAGUAGUUCAUUAGAUUAGAGCCACUCAAAGGCUAGAAAUGUCAUUUUGUGCUGGACCUGCACCUCAACUCUCUUCUCGUAAAACAGAGGCCUCAUAGAUGAAGGGAAACCAAGUCCAUAAUUUUCUAAAAACAGAAAUAGAAGCAUUGCAAUUAAGUUGGUUGACAUUAGAUACAACCCGAAAAUAGGCCAACCGACACAUCAACCAUGGCCUGCAGUGCUUCAGCUGAGUCCUCUGCUCUCAGCGCAUGCUCGAAGAUUGUGGCUUUCUGUGAAGGGGUUCAGCUCCAUGGGUCUGCUUGUGAAGAUGGGUUUGAGAGAUGUGUUUAUUGGGAUUUCUUAGAUUCGUUUCUAUGCAGAAUGUGGGCACUUGGAUUAUGCCUGCAAAGGUGUUUGAUGAAAUGCUUGAGAGAAACACUCUUUCGUGGACUAAUCAGAGAGGUUUGGAGCUGUGACUUGAAAACAAUCUUUAGACUUCAAGCUUCAAAGUACAAUAGCUGAUUAUAAUUCCAAGACUUCUCAGGUUUGUCUUUCCUCUUUUUUCUCAGAUUCUGCAGGUACAUUGCUUUUAUAAGGCUAUGGUUGACAUUUGUUGGUUCUUUUAAGCUUUUAGUUCAUAGUGGUUUGUAACAGCUGGGAUUAGCACAAAUGCACAAUGGUAGUUGCAUAUACUAAUCAGCAUAUAUGGAUGGCAUUUGGGGUCACCAUACUGGCACCUUAAGAAAGAGAAGCAAGUACCUCUAGUUAUGUUGGCAAAAAACUUUGAACUUAGCAAACGGCUCCGUGGAUUGAAUUUGUAUGUGUUCUUGAAAACUCGGACUGCAUGUAUUCCAUUGCAGUGAUUAAGUGGGAUGAUUGAUGAGACUAUUGUCUGCAGUCGUAGGAAAGAGGCUGCUGCAGGAAGGGUACAUAUGCACUGUGUGAAGAUCCACAAGUAUUUGUAUUCACGAAAACUUUACAAUAUUGAUCAACAGGGGUUGCUGAAUAGUUUUCAGCAGCAGUGAUCAAGUGGCAUGAUGCUGGAGCUUUCCUCUUAAGAGGCUGCUGCAGGAUGGCUACAUAUACCAUCAGGCUUAACCGAGUUCCAAAACUGAUUGAUUUCGUGUAAUACAGAAAAUUUUAGUCAAGUCCAAAAAGAAAAAAGGAACGAAGAAGCUUCUUGGUUAAUGCGCCUACUGUUGCAGUAAAAGAGAAAGUUGCAAUGAAAGCUGCUUGCCAAGUGCGCCCAAUGCCAAGAUGCUUCACAAUUAGCUUUUCUACACUAGAAUAGGCAUUUUGUGUCCCACAUGGAAGAAAAUUAAAGGAAGGAGCUUCUCUUCCCUAUAAAAGGAGAUUCCCUUUCACUUACUCAACAUUCCAUUACAUCCUCAAAUUGCGGCCCAACCGGCACACAUAGUAAAAGCUUCAAAUGGAUGUAGUCUCCUGCUAAAAGGGGAGACAAACCACUAUACUACUUCUCGUGUCUCACUUACUCUCUCUCUCUCUCUUUCUCUCUAACAACUUUCCCUCUCUAACAACUACAGCAUUCGUUUCCUAACGUUAAUAGGUAGUGCUUCCUAUGGUAUGAUAACCUCAGUACUUUGUUAGAAUUUAGGCUGGCUAGUUGUAAGUUAGCACCCGGAAGUGACAAUUAAUGGUACCUUUUCCAUCUAUGACCUUAGAUUGCUUAAGGACAUUUAGAAAAUGAUGAGAAGAGGAGGCAGAAUUUAAAGCUGAAACAAAAGAGGAACAAAAAGACUUGAAAGAACUUCAUUGGGCAUUCACAAAUUUCUAGCAUGAUGGUAUUGCUACAGCAGAUGGAUAUAAUAUUUUGAUGCCUUCAAACAUACAGAUCACCUUCCCUCUGAUGGUCCUUCAAAGUUUUGGUAUUAGUAUGCUUCAUCCACUGCGAAGAGUAGAUGCAUCAGAUCAUGUUCCAAUAAUGGGAUAGCAUGAAUGCGUUAUGCUGAAGCAAUUACAUAUGAGUUACAUUUUGUUCCUCUUUACCCUUUUCUUUCAUGCUCCUCAUUUUGGGGGGGUUUGGUUGUGUAUGGAGUAACAGCUAAACUCUUUGCCUAAAGCUUUUGCAUUACUGAAAGUUUUAAAUAUCAAGUUUAAUCGUCUCAUUUCCUACUGGUGC